GGAAUUCCCGGUGUAGCGGUGGAAUGCGUAGAUAUCGGGAGGAACACCAGUGGCGAAGGCGGCCUACUGGGCACCAACUGACGCUGAGGCUCGAAAGUGUGGGUAGCAAACAGGAUUAGAUACCCUGGUAGUCCACACCGUAAACGAUGAUUACUAGGUGUUGGAGGAUUGACCCCUUCAGUGCCGCAGUUAACACAAUAAGUAAUCCACCUGGGGAGUACGACCGCAAGGUUGAAACUCAAAGGAAUUGACGGGGGCCCGCACAAGCAGUGGAGUAUGUGGUUUAAUUCGACGCAACGCGAAGAACCUUACCAAGUCUUGACAUCCUGCGACGGUGCUGGAAACAGUACUUUCCUUCGGGACGCAGAGACAGGUGGUGCAUGGUUGUCGUCAGCUCGUGUCGUGAGAUGUUGGGUUAAGUCCCGCAACGAGCGCAACCCUUAUUGCCAGUUACUACGAAAGAGGACUCUGGCGAGACUGCCGUUGACAAAACGGAGGAAGGUGGGGAUGACGUCAAAUCAUCAUGCCCUUUAUGACUUGGGCUACACACGUACUACAAUGGCGUUAAACAAAGAGAAGCAAGACCGCGAGGUGGAGCAAAACUCAAAAACAACGUCUCAGUUCAGAUUGCAGGCUGCAACUCGCCUGCAUGAAGUCGGAAUUGCUAGUAAUCGCGGAUCAGCAUGCCGCGGUGAAUACGUUCCCGGGCCUUGUACACACCGCCCGUCACACCAUGAGAGCCGGGGGGACCCGAAGUCGGUAGUCUAACCGCAAGGAGGACGCCGCCGAAGGUAAAACUGGUGAUUGGGGUGAAGUCGUAACAAGGUAGCCGUAUCGGAAGGUGCGGCUG
rnacentral:rRNA from 1 species